UGAAGUCUGGCACCAUGCCCCCUUUUAUUCUCUAUGUCUCACACCCAACUAAAAUAGUUAUUAUUUCUGGGGAUGAUGGUGGGCAAGGAAAGGUAUUUUCCACAGGGAUCUAGCAAUUCUGUUUAACUAGUGGGGAUUCCUAGGGGUAGAUGGACAUUGGGAGCGAACAAACUUUCUAAAGCUGGGGGACUGUGGACCACCCUCUCUCCUACCUGCCUUAGGGUCUAGCAGGUCUUCUCCAGGAUGAGGGCGCCAGUCUGGGUGAGGGUGGGUGAGGAGCUGGCUUCUGGGUUGACCUCAAUAUUCUGCUCAGGUUCUGCUGAUUGAGCAUUUUCCUCUCUUCUUUUUUUCAUGAGGAGAUCCCUGUUCCUGUCUUGAGAACUUGAGUCCCUUCCUCCAUCUUCCUCCCUCCAUUUACUCCUCUCUCUGACUCUCUCUCUUGCUCUCUCUCUCAUGACUCACUACUGAUCACCUGUGAGUUUUUUUCACGGGCUGAGACGUGCCCGCCUUCUUCCACACUCAUCCUAGUUCCUUGUUUCUUUAAAACUUGCUCAAGAACCAACUCCUGCAGGGGGGUUUCCAGUCUUAACCCCACUCAGCAAAAUUCACCACCAUUUAUGGGCUUUCCUCAUCACAUUUAUGGGUGAAAUGCCCCGGGGAGGGCACUGGUCAUCUGGCCAGGUCUGCACUAAGUUGGACUGAUUUCUGAGAAUAGAGUCCAUGGUCGCUUUUUCUGGAUGUACCCUCUCCUGCAGGGUAGGGACUAUGAUUUUCUUGUCAACUUGAGACUUCUGAUUGCAGAGACCAAGAGGUCUUCCAUGGUCUUCCAUCAGAUAGGGAGGAAGCUAAAGGCGAGCAUCACGUCCAUCAUUUUCCCUGCGCGUGGAGUUGUGAGGGGUAGGUUUUCCUUCCCUAAACCUGAGUAUAUAGAGGAUUUAGGGAUUUUCCCUCAAGAACUAAACAUUUCCUCACGGGAGGAAAACAUAUCCCCCAUUGGACUCCUUAGGACAAAUCUUGCAGAUUAUCAUACAAAAAUGAACAGCCUGAAGUCUAAACUGACUCACUAAGGGGUAUUUCCAUCCUUGGGUUCUGGCUUAAUACUUUCUCCCCUCCCCAACUACUCACUGCCCAGCCUGGCCUCUCCCCAGACUCCGCAGCAGCCUCCUCGCUGCCCCCUUCACUUUCUUAUUCCUGAGGGUGUAGAUGAGCGGGUUGAGAGCAGGUGUGACCACGGUGUAGAAGAGCGAUACGAACUUGCCCCGUGCCUGGUUGUAGCGCUGCGCGGGCUGCAGGUAGGUGUAGAUGGCCGAGCCGUAGAACAGGCAGACGGCUGUCAGGUGGGACCCACACGUGCCCACCGCCCUCCUCCGGCCUCCGCUGAACCGCAUGCAACAGACAGCUCGGGCCACGGCACCGUAGGAGGCCAGGAUGACGGCAAACGGCAGCAGCAGGAUGACCACGCGGGCGGCGAACAUCUGGUUCUCGGUAGUGUCUCCGUCGCCUCCGCAGGCCAGCUUGAGCAACGCCGGCAGCUCACAGAUGAAGUGGUCCAGCAGGCGGGGCGCGCACAGCGGCCGCUCAGCCAGGAGCGCGGUUUGCGCAACCGAGUUGGUGAGGCCGCUUAGCCAGGAGGCGCUGGCCAGCGUGCGACAUAGGCGCGGGGAGACGAGCCCCGCAUAGCGCAGCGGGCGGCACACUGCGGCCGCGCGGUCCAGAGCCAUCACCGCCAGGAGGACGCAUUCGGCGGAACCCAGAGCCAGCGAUGCGCACAGCUGGGCCGUGCAGUGGCUGCGCGGCAGCCAGAGCGCUGGUCCGCGCAGGUUGGCCAGCAGCGGCGGCACCACGCUAGUAGUGAAGCCCGCGUCUACCAAGGCCAGGUGGCAGAGGAAGUAGUACAUGGGCGUGUGCAGGCGCGGGUCGCGCACCGCCAGCAGCACCAGCGCCGAGUUGCCCGUCAAGGUCAGGAGGUAGCACAGGAGGACAAGGGCGAAGAGGACCGGCUGCAGGGAAGGCCAGUCGGAGAAACCCAGCAGGAGAAAGCGCUCCUCUGCGCUGUAGUUGGCCUAAAGGAGGAAAACUCCCAGAAUGUUUGGAAGGUCGAAAUAAAAAAGGGUGACUACCCCUUAUAAGCAAAGGGAAAACCUUGGAGUGUGGGGCUGGGCUGGGAGAAGGAAUGGAAUCAUAUACAAGGUCAGUUUGUGGAUUGUAAUCCCAUUUACAGAUGAGAUUACUUAAAAAUAAACUCCCUAAGAAUAAGAGCAACACUCCAAGCUUGGCCUGGCCAACACUCGGUAGGCAGAAUGAUCACCUCCGUUGUUUCAGGUACUCUGUGUUUAUUUAUGCAACAGUUCAUGUAAAAUGGAGACGAGGCCAGAAGAAUCCUUGAGCAGACAGAGCCAGUUGGGCCUCCUAAGUGACCUUAACCUUGCUUGAUUUGCAAGCAUGUCUGAAACUUUAUUUGUGGUAUUUCUUGUAAAUGCCUAUGUUAAAGAAACACAGAACUUAAGCUCAACCAAUCAGAAGCAGCCAACAAAAACGUAAUUAGUAACUAGGACUUCCUCAUGGGAUAGACCAAAUAAGGCAACUGUAUAACUGUGUAACUGUAUAACUGUAACCAAUGAAAUAUUAUCUUUGCUUUUAUCUAUUUGUCCUAAAAAGCCUCCUCCUCAUGUUCUCUCUGGGGAGCUCCCUAG
rnacentral:lncRNA from 1 species